CUACCCGUAGCCAAAUCAGGUAAGGCAGCUGGCUGCAACCCUUCGAUUCCCGGUUCAAAUCCGGGCGGGUAGUCCA
rnacentral:tRNA from 1 species